rnacentral:lncRNA from 10 species
UAGCAAUUCUAAAAAAAAGAACAAGGCUAAAGCUUCCUCAUCUUUCUUGCCUCAGAUUCUCUUAGUGAGUCUUUAUAUAAUGCUUUGAGCUUUUGCAAUCUAUGGAAAAAGAUGACCACUACUUUCUGAAGUUUCUGUCACUACUAAUAAAUCUUAGAAAGAAAAGGGAGCAAUGGAAAGAGGCUCCCAAAUCUGUGGGGGGGGGAAUUGAGAAAGAAUAGAAGAAGGCUCCGUGAGAUCAUCAGAUUGUGAUGCAUGCAAUUUGAUACAAAAUAAAGGAGAAAGUGAGAGGAACAGAAUUUAUCUAAUUAGUGUAACCUUCUUUGAUAGCUUCAGGCAAAAAGUUAAAUAGAGACAUGCAAUAAACAGAAAGUCACACAAAUGACCAAUUAUUUGUACUUGUAGGGUUAUAAGAGCCAAGUGGGAGGGCAUAAAAAUUAAUUAUGAAAGUGGGAAGGUGCCACAGGCACCACCCAACAUGAGCUGAUGUUGAUACUGCCAAUCCCAAUUUGCCUGGUUCCUGGGAAGCUUUGUAUUAAAAAGUGCUGUCACAUAUUUUUAAUUUCCCCAGUGAGUCAGCUCUCCCUCUAUGGAUCUGCCUGCCUCAGCCUCCCAAAGUGCUAGGAUUACAAGCAUGAGCCACUGCACCUGGCCAGUACCUGGUUUUAACUUCAUUUUGCUGAAAGAGGCACUAAAGAGAUAGAAAAAGCAGUCUUGAAUCGCCAAAACCAUCACUUAAGCAUCCUUUCUUUUCCCUGAUCUUAGCGAAAAAGUUUUCAACAUUGCACUUUUGAGAAUUAUGUUAGCCACAGGUUUGUCCUAUAUGGUCUUUAUUAUAUUGAGGUAUACUCCU